AAUAUGCUGAAUUUGUCUCAUAUUUUGCAAGCAGUUCCUGGAUUAAAUAACUACAAGUGCUACAACCUUCAGGAUUACAGAAUGCCCCUGCGUGCUAUCAUCAUUCCAAGUUAGUGAAUGUGAGAAUAAGAUGUCCAUGACUUUGUCACUGUAGCAAAA